AUGUUGAUUAUAUUACACAACAUAAUCAUAAAAAAAAUAUAAAAGUUAUUGAUUUAAUAAAUAGUGAAUAUACUUUAAAUGAAUGUCCUUUGAUAGAUAACAGCUCAAUCAUUGUUAAAAGGAAAAGUGAAAAUCUUAUUUCUACAAUAGCAGAAAUACCUGGUAUUUCAAAUUGGACUUAUAAAGAUAUUAAUUUAUAUAAUAUUUUACAAGAUGCAGCAGAAAAAUUAAUAUCAAACAAUGAAGAAGAAUAUAUAAAUGUCAAUAUUAUAAAGAAAGAAGCUAAUAGUAUGAUAGCUGAUGUUUUAAGAAAAAGGCAAAGUUCGUUAGUAUAUAUAUUCCAAAAUUUAAAUAAAAAUCAAAAUAGUGAUUUUGUAUUUAUAGAUAAAUUACCCUAUUAUUUAUCACCAUUGUUACAUACCUUAAUAAUUCAAGGGAAAGGUCCUACUAAUUCCACUAGUUCUAUUAAUACCACUAAUAAUAUCAGUUUUAAUAAAUUAAAAACAAAUUGUGAUUUUAUUUAUUUUGCUUAUCACGCAAUUAAAAAAUUUAAUAUACAAAUUAAUAAUUUUGAUACACCUGAAGACAAAAUAACAAAACAUCGAGACUUUUACUUUAUUAAUUUUAAAUAUAAUUUACCACCUAAAUGUGAAAUAAUUAUAAGAUAUGAAGUUAUAAAAAUACAAAUUAGAUCAUUCGAAUUUAAAUUUGAUUUUGAAAGAGGAAUUUUACUAGAAAGUGGAAUAUUCAAGCAAAAAAGAAAUUAUAUUUUAAAUGAAAUGGAUGACUUGUACAAAUAUACUCCACCAAUGUUAAUUGAAAUGAGUUUGCCAGAUUCAAGUACUUGAAAAAAAAAAAAAAAUCCUGUGUUUCUGAUAUAUAUAUAUAUGUAAAUAUAUACAUGUGUACAUAUUAUGUAUAUUUUUAUAUAUAUAUACACUUCCUUUUUUUACCACCUAUGUGGUCAUAUUUACAUUUUUUUUUUUUUUUUUUUUUUUUUUUUUUUUUUUUUUUUUUUUUUUUAGGUAUGCCUUUUAAUGUUAUAGCCAUUUCAUUGUGUGUUGUUACGUUAUUUUUUGGGUUCAUAUUUAAGCGUACUGCUAAAGAAAUGGCUAGAUAUAUUUAAUUUUUUUUUUUAUUUUUCUUAUGAAUUUUUUGAAGUUCAUAAUAAAAAUAAUAAAAAUAUAUCA
rnacentral:lncRNA from 1 species